UGUCGACGUAUCUUGAUGCAGUACGAGAAAAGCGACUGGUCAACCUUCCUAUCCUCAUCCUCAGCCGCCGCUCGCACUCACCCGGAUCUUCCCCAAACCAACCUUGCCAACAUCGAGCAUGUGAGCAGUCGCCGGCACACUCUACCUCCUCCUCCUCCUCCCAUCCUUCACCUCUAGCCUCCCCCUCCUCUCUACUCAACUACUCAAGUUUCUCACGAGCAAAGUGGAGGCCCACGAUGGAGGGCGACCAGCAAUGCAGAGCUGGCCAUGGGUGGAGGCCGGCGACCACUCCUUCUUCUCUUGGUAUGGGCAGCGGUGGAGGAGGUGGAGGGCGCAUGCGGCAGAGUGACCGUGGCAUCAAGCGAUCCCUGGCCGCCAUCGAUCCAGCGCCAAGCUUGAAGAAGGAGGUCAAGGAUAAGGCUGGAUCACUGGUCCCACCUGGCUGCCACCAUCAGCCAUCGCUGUUAACCCAGCGACCAGCGUGGCAGAGCAAACUCUCGCGAGAAACGUGUGCCUGCCUCGUUGUUUCCCUCCUCCCAAAGCCUCCUCACCGAUGCCGCCUCCCCUCCUCCUCCUCCUCCUCCUCCUCCUCGGCGGCGCCGCCGCGGCGGAGGAGCCCCCGGCGGCGCCCUCCUCCUCCCCUCCGCCGCACAAGAACGCGACGCUCUCCGAGAUCCUCCCGCGCUACGGCCUGCCUCCGGGGCUGUUCCCCGCCAGCGUCACCGCCUUCUCCCUCGCCGCCAACGGCAGCCUCGCCGUCGACCUCGGGGGGCCCUGCUACGCCCACUACGAGUACCUCACCUACUUCGAGCCCCGCGUCACGGGGGUCCUCCGCUACGGCUCCCUCACCGGCCUCUCCGGGGUCAAGGUCCGCCGCUUCCUCGUCUGGUUCGACGUCGUCCGCGUCAAGGUCGACCUCCCGCCGCCCCCGCGCUACGUCUACCUCGACAUCGGCUGGAUCACCCGCAAGCUCCCCGCCGACGAGUUCGAGUCCCCCCACGAGUGCGAGGACUCCAAGAAAUGCCGCCUCUCGUCCGCGCUCGCCACGGUCGCCGCGUGGUUCCAGGUCUGACGGGCUCCUCCCCCUUUGUGAUUUCGAGCUGUUUGUGUUCGAUAGGUUCUUGAUUUAGGCUUGCCAAAUUAGUCUCUGGUUAGAAAUUAAUCUGCUGCCAAGUAGCAAUCGAGUUCAAUUUCCCGGAUUGUGUUAUUGUGCCGUCAAUUUCAAAGUUGAUAGCGGAACUAUGCUAAGAAUCUUCGCUGUUUCCUGGUGAUUGUUUCGUGUCCGACUUGUGUUCUUCCUGGCUGCUCACUCCUGUGGUGGUUAAUUUUGACUUCUAUAUAAUUACCUUGAGGUUGCGUAAUGCUGAAGGAAACGCAAGCUGAGAGUUGCUUCCUGUGGUAAUAUUUGACAUGGAAAAUGAAAUAUAUGGCAUAUUAGGUUGUUGUAAUAAAAUAGGGCUAUUGUGUAUUAUUGCAUCAUGCAGUUGGAAUAGUUUAAACAGACACGAGACGUGUUGCACAUUGGCUUAUGAAAAGAAAAAUGCAAUUGUACAGAACCAGGAAGGCAGGAAGCAAGGUCGUAUUAAGUCAAUAAAGCUCGAUAAGAUGAACUUCUUUGCCCAGUUUUAGGGGAUGGAGAAGGGAUUUGGUCUUGUGACAGUGUUACAUGAGCUUCGGGCCUUCCACGAGUGUAGUGAUUGCCAGCAUCCAACUACAGAAGAAUAAGCAGUGGUUGAGAUAUUUCUCUACAGCUUCUAUAUUGUCUUAGAUGCACAUUUGCUCAUGCCCGAGAGACACAUGAUCUUGUGGAGAUUUAUUGGUCAUUUUGAUCCAUGAUACUGGAGCGUGCUCCAUGAUUCAAAUGCAAUUACACCUGUUAAGUAGUGAUCAUUUUAUACUAAUAGCAAGUAAACUGACAUGAUGCUCGAGGUGAUUAAAGAUUCAUAGAACAUUUUAGCUGAUAUUCCUAAGUUACACCAGACUAAUUAAUUUUUAUUCUGUUC